GCGACCGCAUCGCGACGUGAAGGAGUCAGGAAAAUCUUUCAAUUUUGACAGCAAAGAGGGAAAACUUCUAAUUGGAUUUGGAUUGUUAUUUCUUAGGGUAUUAGGACUUUAUUUUAGUACUAUAAAUACAUGUAUUAGGGGGAUAAUCAUUUAUCAUCUACUACAUUGGAACUCAAAUCCUUGUUUUGGAAGAUCAAAGGCAUGUCGAG
rnacentral:lncRNA from 1 species